AUGGAGGCUGCGGUGGCGAGCGCUCUGACCAAGGAGGUUGUACUGAAGCUCGUGGCGCUGCUGAGCGAGAAGCACAAGCUGUCGAGGGGCCUCAAGGACGACAUCCGCUUCAUCCGGACCGAGCUCGACAUGAUCUCCAGCGCCAGGGACAGCCACAUGGCAAUGGCGGCAGGGCGGGAUCCGGCGAGCAGCUCCUCGCGCAUAUCCAUGGAGGAGAUGCGUGAUCUGGCGCACGACAUCGAGGAUUGCAUAGACCGGUUCCUGCCCUGCCCCUGCGUGGCCUGCCAGGGUCAGGGUGAGGCCGCGUCCGUCCUCCGCCGCGUCAAGAAGGCGGCCACCAGCGCCAGAUCCCGGUUCGCGGCGGAGAUCCACAAGCUCCGGAGCAGGCUCAAGGACGCCCACGACCGAAGGGUCAACUACCAAGCCGUCAACGGAUCCUCCGCCGGAGCUUCUCCGCCGGCCGCGGACACGGGGGCGGAGACCGACCCCGUGGGCAUCGACGAGCCAAAGCAGGAGCUUGUAGACAUCUUGUUGCAGCAGACCGGGCCGGGGAAGCCCGGCGUGAUAUCCAUCGUCGGGUUCGGCGGCUCCGGGAAGACCACGCUCGCAAGGGCAGUGUAUGAGUGCCCCGGAGUCGUCCGGAGAUUCCCCUGCCGCGCCUGGGCUGCGGCCUCGGAGCACAGGGACGCCGACGGGCUCCUGACCACGAUACUCCGGCAACUCCACACCGCCGAUGCGCCGCUGCCCCAAAUUUCCAUGGAUGGUUUUCUGCGGACUACAGAGUGUUUAAUUGUAAUCGAUGACAUCAACAAGCAGCACUGGGAUGUCAUCAAAUCCAUCUUACCCAGGGAAACAAAAAGCAGAAUUAUAGUUACCACGUCUCUCCAGUCAGUAGCUAAUGCUUGCAGCUCAGGUGAUGGUUAUGUUUACAAGAUGAGCAUUCUUAAUGCGGAGCACUCCAAGGUUUUGCUAAUGAAGAAGGUUUUCUUCCAAGGAUGUUCACCUGAACUGGAGCGGGGUUCAACAGCAAUUGUGGAGAAGUGUGAUGGCCUUCCACUUGCUCUUGUGUGUGUGGCCAAGUUUUUGCUAGGCGAGAAUGAGCUCACGGGAAGUCACUGUGCGCGCGUUUGCCACAACCUCGGGCAUCAUAUGGAGAAGGAGGCAGACUUCACAAAAUUGCAACAGGUUCUUGUAAAUAACUACAGCAGCCUGUCUGGUUAUCCUCUGAGGACCUCCUUGCUAUACACGAGUGUGUUCCCAAAUGGUCGCCCAAUCAGGAGGAAUACUUUAAUCAGGCGAUGGCUAGCUGAAGGGUAUGUCCAGUGUCAAUAUAAACGCAGUGAUCUGGAGGUAGCAGAUGAAAACUUCCGGGAACUUAUUGACCGGAACAUCAUCCGGCCGAUCGAUGCUAGCAACAAUGCAAAAGUGAAGACGUGCAGAACUCAUGGAAUCAUGCACGAGUUCAUGCUGCACAAGUCAAUGUCUGAUAACUUCAUCACAUCUCUUCAUGAUCAAAAUCGAAGUAAUUUCCGUCACCUGUUCAUCCAAAACCAUGCAAGUGGCAGCACCUUGAGCUCGAACCAGCGUACAAGUCCAGCAAGCGAUGAUGCAGCUGGCAGCGAGAAAUUCCGCGCCCGGUCUCUGACCAUCUCUGGGGAUGCGGGAGAAGCUGCUUCUGAGUUUUGCAGGUGCGAGCUGCUGCGAGUGUUGGAUCUGGGAGAAUGCAAUGAUUUGGAGGACAGUCAUCUCAAGGACAUACAUAAGCUGUGGCAUCUAAAAUAUCUGAGCCUUGGGGGCACUAUCAGCAACCUUCCGAAGAAAAUUGACAAGCUACACUGUUUAGAGACCCUGGAUCUGAGGAAGACAAAGAUAGAGAUAUUGCCAGUGGAAGUCAUUGGGUUGCCUCACCUAGCUUACCUGUUUGGAAAGUUUAAGUUUGGGAAAAAGGACUUGAGAAAGAGUGAAAUAGCGGAGUUCUCGCAAAGAAAAAGUAAGUUGAAGUCUCUUGCAGGAUUUUAUGCAGAUGGAAACCCUGGAUUUCUACAACUGAUGGCUCAUAUGAAAGAACUGAAAAAGGUUAAGAUAUGGUGUGAAUCCACUGGCGCAGACAACAGAGGCUUGCCUGACAUUUCAAAGGCAGUUCAGAAGUUUGCUCAGGAUGGCAUGGACACAACCGGCAUUCGUUCUCUGUCACUCAAUCUUGGGAAUACCAUGGGUGACUUCCUGGGUUCUAUUCAAGAAUAUUGUUAUCUUAGCUCGCUGAAACUGCACGGCCAGCUUAGUGUAUUGCCUCAGUUUGUUACAUCCCUGUGUGGCCUCACGGAAUUGUGCCUUUCGUCGACUAAUCUGAUGGGGCAUGAUCUAUCGAACCUGCGCAAGCUGCGCUACUUGCUUUACCUCAAGCUGGUUGAGGCUGACCUUGGGAGCUUCACCAUAGACAAUGGGGACUUCCCAAGCCUGCGACGCCUAUGCCUUGUGGUGAAAAUGCCCAUCCUCCCUGCAAUCAAAGAGGGAGCCCUGCCGUACCUUGUCUCACUCCAGCUGCUCUGCAAGGACCUCCUUGAUCUUUCAGGCAUGAGAAUCGAGUUCCAUGAUUGUCUUGAGGAAGUUGCCCUCGAUUCUAUGGUCAGUGCCAGAACGGCAGAAAUGUGGGAAACGGCAGCGAAGAAGCAUCCCAAGAGACCAAAAGUUGUGUUUCUCAAAAGGAUUGACCCGAGCGAACCCGCGUCCGCUGCGAAAUACGUCGCGGCGGAUGGGCCAACACGUGAGAAAUGCAUAGUCGAUUCGCCUCAGUCAGGUUCGAGGAGCAAACACGAUUCGUUUCUGAAGAAGACGGUUGUUUCAGACCCACCUCGGGUUGCAUCUGAGCCGUCCGGUGCUGGGAACGGCGCGAUGCCUCCUUCUGCAAGCAUAUGUUGA
rnacentral:rRNA from 1 species